CAAAAAGCACUAGGCGUAUCUAUGAGCAAUAAUGGAGAAGAAAAACAAGAAAAGCUAAAGUAGUCACUGCGAUCAGCGAAGAAGAAGAAGACCAGUAGCAGUCACUUUCAGGUUUUGGCAAUACUAAGCUGGAACGACCUCUAACAUUAUGGAUAAUGGACCCAAUGGUUAUGUUAUAUCAAGAGCUGUAUUAGCUCAACGUGCACGACGAGAACGUGAAAGAAAUGAAAAUGCAUACUCUACAUAUCAAUCGAGACAAUGCUUGCGACAGGAACGAGAGAGAUUAGGAGCAUAUGUUAAAGACUUUCCUUCAUUAACACCGAGUCGUCGCAGUCACGCUUGCGUAGAACAGGGUACAAAGACACUUGCGGAUACUUCGUUGGCACAAAAACGAACAAUGGUUACACAUGCAUCCACAUGUUCGUUCUCUAUGGAAAGUACAUCUUUAGCUCGGAAUUGGUAAAACAUGUUUAAUUCUUUAAAUAAUACUCUUAUUUUUACAUGUGUAUAAAUUUUAAUUUAUGCACAACAAAUAGCCUAAUUCUACAGUCACAUUUCUUCAA